rnacentral:lncRNA from 1 species
UGGUGUAAAUGUUAAAUUUUAUACCAAAUUUUCUUUUCGAGAGAAGUUACAAAGUAAACAAGUAGCGGAAUGAAAAUAAAAAGCUAAAGCAACACCAGAAAAGAAAGAAGAAGCAACUUCGAGAGAUAAAUGGACUAUAUCAUAUAACUAAACAAAAGGUUUGCUAGUUAAGGAAGGAUAGAAACUAGACCGGGAAGCAUUGCCACAUGAC